rnacentral:rRNA from 1 species
GACAGAGGAUGCAAGCGUUAUCCGGAAUGAUUGGGCGUAAAGCGUCUGUAGGUGGCUUUUUAAGUCCGCCGUCAAAUCCCAGGGCUCAACCCUGGACAGGCGGUGGAAACUGCCAAGCUGGAGUACGGUAGGGGCAGAGGGAAUUUCCGGUGGAGCGGGUGAAAUGGCGUAGAGAUCGGAAAGAACACCAACGGCGAAAGCAACUCUGCUGGGCCGACACUGACACUGGAGAGACGAAAGCUAGGGGAGCGAAUGGGA